rnacentral:rRNA from 1 species
UACGAGGGGGGCGAGCGUUGUUCGGAAUUAUUGGGCGUAAAGGGUGCGUAGGCGGUUUGGUAAGUCUGAUGUGAAAUCUAUGGGCUCAACUCAUAGUCUGCAUCGGAAACUGCCGGGCUUGAGUAUGGGAGAGGUGAGUGGAAUUCCUGGUGUAGCGGUGAAAUGCGUAGAUAUCAGGAGGAACACCUGUGGCGAAAGCGGCUCACUGGACCAUAACUGACGCUGAUGCACGAAAGCUAGGGGAGCGAACGGG